UCGAACGGCGCUGCCGCUGCUGGCGGGGCUCGGGGCGGGCUCCGGGCGCUGCGGCCCCGCUGUGCUCCCGGGCAGCCCGGGCCAACCCAACCCAACCCAACCCAGCCGAGGAGCUCCCGCCCGGCCUUUCUCCUCUCCAGAGUGGCUGGGGGCCAAGCGAGGCUCCCUUUCCGGCCGCCCUCUCCCAGCCGGGACAGGCCGCGCAGCUCCCACCGGCUCCUCCGUUGCCGUUCCGGGAGAGAUAAUGGCCGGAACUCUGGAGAAACCCGGCACCUGCCAAACGACGGAGCAGGAAGCACCUCGGCGGGCCCGGCGGAGCUGUGACCCGCAGAACUGGCACCGCAAACCCCUGGUCGGGAUCGCCGUGGGCCGGGCAGCAGCGCCCCGGGGCUGAGCCCUACAGCAGACGGGGCUCCACAAGGAGUAUGUUGCCAGGGCAACAGAGUGUAAGCAGGAGCACAGCACCUUGCAGAUCACAAAGGCAAAGCUGCAGAAAGACAUUUCAGCGAGUUUCUCUCUCCCUUUUGCAAUGGCCAGGCUGAGGAAGGAAGUGUGUGGAAAGCAAUCCUUGCAGGCUGCAGAAUGGGAGAUGAGCAUUUGGACCUGAGACUUCCAAAUUCAGGGAGUGAACUGUUCCUGGCUGCAGGAACAAGAGUGUAUGAUUCUGUGCACAGUGAGGUGAGCAAUUAAUGCUGCAUUGAUGUGUUCAGUUUAUUAACAUUUGUUUAUAAGCCAACUCUAAGGACACUGUACUCUCACUAAUAACUUCAGCUUGGCUUUUAGAAUAUUUGGAGUGCUAAUCCUAAACAGCACAGGAUCAGAUAAUGGUGUGGUAUAAAAAUCACUCAAUAUAAGUUUCUGCAAUAGAAUAAUGUACAUUAAAUAUAUACAAUAUAGAAAGCAAUAAGAUGCCUUCUAUAUAGUAUUAUUUAUGUAAGUAUAUAGAAUUACUUAUUUGAAUGUGUAUGUAGAUUGAGGAGUUUAGGAACAAAGACAAUUCUUUAAUGUUGUUAUAAAAAGGAAAAACAAAACCUCUUUUUUUCUGAGCAAACAUAUCCCAGGUUUCACCUUCCUGCUACUAAAUGAAUGAAUCAAAAUGAUGUAACAACUGCAUAAGGUUUUAUCUGAUUAGAAAAUUCAGCAGUGCCUGACGCUGAAUUGUCCUAUUGUUCCUACUCUGGAGAUAUGCAGGAUUUUCUACAGCCAUUGUAAUACUUGUCCCUUUUUUUUUUUUUUUCAUGGACAGGUCUGAUUACUAUUACCUAGGCUAUAUUUCCUUUAUGAAGAAAAAGGCUUUUCAUAAAACAGAAAAGGCUUAAUUAUGUACAAAACUAUUUUUACUGACUAUAAAAGCACAUGAGCAUCCUUCAAGUUGUGCUCCUAAAGCUUUUUCGUGGCAUGUGGGGUCAGGAGAGGGAAUGAACAGAAAAGUUUGAAUGCAAGAUUCCAAUGCAGUUUGUCUUUUUUUCACACAAACCUGGAAUCUUCAUGUUAGAAUUUAAAAAAAUUUUAAAUAUAAAAAUAAUAUUUAUUUGGGUUCCCAUAAUACAAUAUUUGGAAAUUGAUUUAUUCAGAAAAGGGUUGUUUUAUUUCUCUGGGUGUAUCUAGAGAAGCUUUGGAGCAAAUCAGUUCUCUGCUGGUACCUUUAUGUUGGCAGAAAAGCCAGGAAUGAGUGAGCAGCCUGUUGCUUUGGCAGCAUUUGAGGAAAGCUCUCCCCUUUCCCGUGUCCUCGGAGAGCUGAUAACAAAGUCACACUGAUCUGAGGAAAGCCGAGCAACUUCUGGAAAUCCCAAAUCAGGUCAACAACGCAAGAUCUGUCCACCAUUCUGAUUUAAAUGAAGUCACCUUCCACACCGCUUUCACUGAUGUUUAAGAUUUUUUUCAUUAUUAUUUGUUAUUGGCUGGUUUCUGUGAAAUCCAACAGCUCUGCUCCUCUAGGCUCUAGCCAAGGAAAUCGAGACAGUUUUUGUCAUCUCUGCAGCAUUCAUUUCAUAGAAAUGCUGCACAUUGAUUCAGUUAAAGUAUGUAGGUAGAAGAUCUCCUAAAAGCAAUCUUCCAUGGAGCCUGCAGGAAGGCAGCUGACUGCAGCCAGACUGGGCCACACAAAAAGAAAGGUGGAACAAAGUGAGCUGCAGACUGCCAGACACUGGACAAUAUUUCUGUAUUUUUGGGAGACUACAUUUUUAGCUCCUUAAAGCCAGUGCUGGGUGAGAGACUGUUUGCUGGAGGUUCCUCUACAAUUUUUAAAUCUCUUUGUUUUAAUAAUAAUAAACUUUAAAAUGGAGAAAGUUAAAAGGACUUUUAUUGGUUCUUUGUAAGACUCGAUGGGGAAGCCCAAAGUUGAAGCAAGGUGAAAGAACCUUUACUUGCUGCAGGUGGAAACAGGGUUAUUGCCAUCAUUAUAUUGAAAAGGUUUGUCUUUGUACUGAUUUUCCUAUUUUCCUUAGGAAAGAUGGGAUAAAAUUUUGGUGAGAAAUUGAAGCCCAGCAGCUUAAAUACCCACGUAUUUCUAGCACAAAAUCUGGGCAAUUUGCUUUCCUCUUCCUGCUGGCUUGUAUCCUGCUGCCUUUUGAAAUGGAAACUCUUGUGACCCUCUAACCCUCUUGUUACUCAGAAUAAAACUCUUUUAAUUGUGUUUUGGAGGAGCAUGCAAGGAGCUCCCACACUACUAAUCAGCUUUGCUGGUUUGGGUCUGUAUCUCCAGGACUCAUGUCAGCAGAAUAGCUUGAUAUUACUGCCGCUCUGCAUCACUGAUUUAAUGCUGAAGAACUUUAAAGGUGCAGGUCCCCAUUUCUAUCUGUGUGUUCCUACAGAGUGAGAGCAGCUCCUGGGCACACCUGGCAGUGCCUGGGGCCUUGCAGGAGGACUUGGGCAGGUCCUGCUGCUCUUUGGGGUGCCUGAAAGGCUCCGGCAGUGUCAGAGAGGGUGACUGCCUGCUGGGCAGGGCUGCUUGUGGGCACAGCAUUAACACUGAGACAGUUUUUGGAAGAGGCCUUACUGUUUGCUUGCAAUGUAUCACGUGGAAACACAGGUCAGCUUUAGAGCCUGGCACCUCUUCACACAAUUAAAAACAAAAAAACCCCAAACCCUUCUAGCUAGAGUCUGUGUUUUGCACUGGCC